rnacentral:miRNA from 1 species
CGCUCCCUCUCGCACUUGCUGC